rnacentral:rRNA from 1 species
UAAUGUAUGGGGAUCUGCCCGAUAGAGGGGAAUAACUACUGGAAACGGUGGCUAAUACCGCAUAAUGUCUACGGACCAAAGCAGGGGCUCUUCGGACCUUGCACUAUCGGAUGAACCCAUAUGGGAUUAGCUAGUAGGUGGGGUAAAGGCUCACCUAGGCGACGAUCUCUAGCUGGUCUGAGAGGAUGAUCAGCACACUGGGACUGAGACACGGCCCAG